GACGAACGCUGGCGGCGUGCCUAAUACAUGCAAGUAGAACGCACAGUUUAUACCGUAGCUUGCUACACCAUAGACUGUGAGUUGCGAACGGGUGAGUAACGCGUAGGUAACCUGCCUGGUAGCGGGGGAUAACUAUUGGAAACGAUAGCUAAUACCGCAUAAUAUUGAUUAUUGCAUGCUAAUUGAUUGAAAGAUGCUAUUGCAUCACUACCAGAUGGACCUGCGUUGUAUUAGCUAGUAGGUGAGGUAACGGCUCACCUAGGCGACGAUACAUAGCCGACCUGCGAGGGUGAUCGGCCACACUGGGACUGAGACACGGCCCAGACGCCUACGGGAGGAAGCAGUAGGGAAUCUUCGGCAAUGGACGAAAGUCUGACCGAGCAACGCCGCGUGAGUGAAGAAGGUUGUCGGAUCGUAAAGCUCUGUUGUAAGAGAAGAACGGGUGUGAGAGUGGAAAGUUCACACUGUGACGGUAUCUUACCAGAAAGGGACGGCUAACUACGUG
rnacentral:rRNA from 1 species